rnacentral:lncRNA from 1 species
GUCUGAAACCUGGCCAUCCAACACAGAAGAUAAGUGGAUAAUCCUAGUUAGGAAAGCAUGUGUCAUGUUUCAGCCUCUGCUGCUUUGUCACACUCCCCAGAACAGGCAUUCCUAGGCUCAAGCCAUCUUCCAUGGUCACCAGCCCACUUACGAGCUGACUAAAUGUGUCAUGGUAGACCUUAGCGAGAAGAAUGACUGAUAGUGGUCAUGUGAAUUAGAUGCUUCGUAUUAUUUAGCAGAGAGGAGCAAGGGGCAGAUCGAUGGCUGUGCAGGGAAGACCUGGAUACUUAGAAUCAGAGGUUGGAAAGAAGAGCAGGGUUCCCUUAAGCUGGCCUGUUACUUCCACAGCUAUCUCCCUCAACACAGAGAAAUAAGCAUCAUAAAAUGAAUGUGAAAUGUGAUUGUAUUAGGCCAAAUGUGACCAAUGAAACAAAUUAAAUUAUCACGAAUUAGACCGUUGAAUUGGCCAUGCCUGUAAAAGCAAGAUUCAUCUCUGAAGGAGACUUGGCAUAUGAGCUUUUUCUUUGUUUGAGAGGAGCUUCUGGCUUAUUUCAGUCCUUGGGAAAGAUAAUAGAGAUUUCUGUGGUUAUCAGUGAAGAAGUGAUUCCAUGAUCAGCCAAUAGAAACGUGAAUGCAGGAAAGCAGAGCCAUACCAGAUCAAUGGGGGAGACGGUGGCUGUAAGAGAGGACACAAGUCCCUUUCUCAGAGGGCCAUCCUGCACCAGAAUUGUACUCCAUCAUAAUUAUUUCAUAUUUUAAUUCUCUGAAUAUCAAUAAAACAAUAAAGGAGUAUCUAAAUGAGGGAUGGAUCCUCCCAGGGAAACAAGGUCCACAUGAGUCUUGGUUAGGUUGAAGUAGUUCAUGUUGUAAGUCAUGAUUGUCAAAGCAAAUCCUUAUAAUAUUGAAGACAUGGAAUCUAUGAUUCAUCAAAUAUAUAUCAUCAAAUAUAUAUGGAAAUUGGAGGGUAAUUAACAUACAUUUUAACAUUGGUGAUCUCUGAGUUCACCAUAUGAAUAAUUAAAGACUGGAUGUGGCUGACACAGAAAAGAACGAGAUGAAGCAAUUAUAUUAUAUCAUUUAAGUACUGAUUUGUGAAUAUGAGAUAAACAGAUAUUGGAGGUCAAGGACAUUGAGUACUUUACUGACAAGUUAUAGAUACAGCCCAACACAUACAGGCUAUAGUUUGUGAAUCUUUGGUUCAUGGACAUGUGUUUACAUAAAGUUAUCACAGGAAAUUGAGUUGUUUGAAUUGAAGUUAGGUGGCUAAAAUGAGGUUCCAAAGGUAAAUAAGAAUGGUAGCAAAUGCUAGAGAAGUCACUUGAUAGUAAUACUCCUCAAAAUAAAGUUAGUGCAGAACGUCUGGCUGGAAUGGGGUAUCCUAGAUGACUUGAUAAUCUCCUUGUAUUGGAGGGAACGUAACCCCACGCCCUUAGAGAGAAAGCCAGGUUUUCCUUUCAAAUGUAGGAAUCGUGGGACAAUCUUGAGAGCAAGUCUUUAGAUUUUUACUUCUUUCUCUGCCUUCUACCAUCCAUGGAGAAGACCCAAGUGAUCUCAAAGGUUUGCAGUGACGGACAGUUCCUGGGAUGCCAUAGCAACAAUUCAGAGCUCAUGGUGACUUGACAUCUUCGGCUUUGAUCCUUCGGUUGGAACCUGCUGAUAGAAAAGCUGACUUAACUGAUGGCACAAGUGUACUCUGAACCAGAACCCACUUCGGUCUUCACCGUGACAGCCUGAGCCCUGCUGACUGAGAGGCGGCAUUUUGAUCUUCCUCACUUAAGAGAGCUGACCCAAGUGAUAUGAGAAGUUUGCUGUGAUGGACAGUUUCUGGGUGCUUUGCCAACAAUCCAGAGUACAUGGUGACAUGUCAACUCCAGCUGUGAUCCUCCUGUGUGGCACUGACUUACAGAAAUGGCGACCCAACAGAUGGUACCAGCAUGCUGAGAUAUAGAACCACCCUUGUAUCACCACUGUGACAUCUCAGAGCUUUGCCGACCAAGAGGCAACAUCUUGAUCUUCCUUGCCCACCAGCUUGCAGGAAGGUGACUCUAGUGAUGGUAGAGUUAUGGAUAAUGGACAAUUCCUGGGAUGCCAUGGCAACAGUCCACAGCCCAUGGUGACUUGUCAACUCCAGCUCUGUUCCUUCUGUGCGCACCUGCUUAUAGAGGCUGAUUGACUGAUGUCAUUGCAAAAGUUUCCUGUCAUAGAGAGUUCCUCUGAUGUCCCUUCAGCACCACUACAACUGAGCUGACUGCAGGAUUUCCUAUGUUUAAUGACUGCCUCAAGAAUGUGUGCUCCUAGGCUGAUGUCUGCAUUUUCUAUGAUCAGCAGUGGAACAUUUGCACCUCUGCAUUGAACAUGGGGCAGUGUGGACCAUCUAAUUAGAGGACCCUCCAAUGGUCAAGCACUCUAUUUGCACCAGCUUGAGGAGACGAACAAGACCAGUAAUGGACUUUCCCAAGGUAUCUAUUCACCUCCAAUGGCUUCCAGCCCUUCAGUUGCUCGUGAUGAUGUGAGAUCUGCCCAAACUUCUCCUCAUAGUUUUGAUGGUUUGAUGAAGGUGUUUGCUGCCUGGAGGAGGUCUCCAUGUCUAGGAUCUCCGCUGAUGUCAUGGGUGGUGCUGGGCUGACCAGUUGAAGGAACGAUGUUACUGAAGAGUCUGCCAUGGUCAAGGGCUCUGUGCUUUCCCAAGAAGAAGUUCAUGUUGAAUAGUAGAGCAAUGGGAAGAGAGUUCCUUAUUCACACCUGGGGUUUAAGUACAGCGGAUGCAUGCAGCUCCUCUCAUCAUGGAUACUUCAGGAUGAAGGUCACAACACUCACUGCAUGGCUGGGCCAGUACAGACCUCAAUGAUGAUGAUGUGGGAGAUGGUUCUGCCACGAGGAUUCAUCUCAGUUCUCACCAUCCAUCCUCUUCAUCUCAACUCAGGUCCCCUGACACAGAACCUUCAGAGUCUUGGUUACCUGAUCCAGCUUCUGUGACCAAAAAUGGCAGCCGUACUGUGACAGUCUUACUGGGAGGACUUCUCAACCAAUAUGGUGUUCCAAAGUUGGGGAAGAUGGCAGCCACCGAGGCAACUCUACCCCAGGUCAUCACAGGUAGGUUGCACCCACUUUGCUUCUAACAGGUUAGACACAGCCACCCCCACACAUGUCCAGCAUGCUUUGGAGGCACGGUGAUGGGCUUUUAAUCAGCCAACCCCUGCUAUAGGACUGUCUAUUGUAGAGAACACCCA